AGGGUGGCUAUGCUCUUGUUGCAGCCUUUCAUAGUAGAGCUGCUGCUUACUCAGUCACCCAACAGAAAAAUAGAAGGUUACUGACCUUACACCUGGACUUACCGGUGCUGGGUUCGUUCCCCUUCUUAUAAUA
rnacentral:snoRNA from 1 species